GAUGAACGCUGGCGGCGUGCCUAAUACAUGCCAGUCGAGCGAACGGACGAGAAGCUUGCUUCUCUGAUGUUAGCGGCGGACGGGUGAGUAACACGUGGAUAACCUACCUAUAAGACUGGGAUAACUUCGGGAAACCGGAGCUAAUACCGGAUAAUAUUAUGAACCGCAUGGUUCAAAAGUGAAAGACGGUCUUGCUGUCACUUAUAGAUGGAUCCGCGCUGCAUUAGCUAGUUGGUAAGGUAACGGCUUACCAAGGCAACGAUGCAUAGCCGACCUGAGAGGGUGAUCGGCCACACUGGAACUGAGACACGGUCCAGACUCCUACGGGAGGCAGCAGUAGGGAAUCUUCCGCAAUGGGCGAAAGCCUGACGGAGCAACGCCGCGUGAGUGAUGAAGGUCUUCGGAUCGUAAAACUCUGUUAUUAGGGAAGAACAUAUGUGUAAGUAACUGUGCACAUCUUGACGGUACCUAAUCAGAAAGCCACGGCUAACUACGUG
rnacentral:rRNA from 1 species